rnacentral:rRNA from 1 species
ACGGGGCAUUGCUUAGUAGCGGCGAGUGAAGCGGCAAAAGCUCAAAUUUGAAAUCUGGCACUUUCAGUGUCCGAGUUGUAAUUUGAAGAAGGUAUCUUUGGGUCUGGCUCUUGUCUAUGUUUCUUGGAACAGAACGUCACAGAGGGUGAGAAUCCCGUGCGAUGAGAUGUCCCAGACCUAUGUAAAGUUCCUUCGAAGAGUCGAGUUGUUUGGGAAUGCAGCUCUAAGUGGGUGGUAAAUUCCAUCUAAAGCUAAAUAUUGGCGAGAGACCGAUAGCGAACAAGUACAGUGAUGGAAAGAUGAAAAGAACUUUGAAAAGAGAGUGAAAAAGUACGUGAAAUUGUUGAAAGGGAAGGGCUUGAGAUCAGACUUGGUAUUUUGUAUGUUACUCUCUCGGGGGUGGCCUCUACAGUUUACCGGGCCAGCAUCAGUUUGAGCGGUAGGAUAAGUGCAAAGAAAUGUGGCACUGCUUCGGUAGUGUGUUAUAGUCUUUGUCGAUACUGCCAGCUUAGACUGAGGACUGCGGCUUCGGCCUAGGAUGUUGGCAUAAUGAUCUUAAGUCGCCCGUCUUGAAAMMMCGGAACACAAA